rnacentral:snoRNA from 1 species
UUUAAUGAUGAUAAAAACUUACAACAACAACAUGAAUUUCUUCAACCGAACCAACAGGUGGAUAAAUUAACUUUGACUUAGCUUUUUAACCCUGAUC